rnacentral:rRNA from 1 species
UACGUAGGGGGCAAGCGUUGUUCGGAAUUACUGGGCGUAAAGGGCGCGUAGGCGGCACGGCAAGUCAGGAGUGAAAGGCCUGGGCUCAACCGAGGAACUGCUUUUGAGACUGCCGAGCUAGGAGUGCGGAAGGGGCAACCGGAAUUCUUGGUGUAGCGGUGAAAUGCGUAGAUAUCAAGAGGAACACCGUGGCGAAGGCGGCAUCC